rnacentral:rRNA from 1 species
CAGCAGCCGCGGUAAUACGGAGGGUGCAAGCGUUAAUCGGAAUUACUGGGCGUAAAGCGUGCGUAGGUGGUGGUUUAAGUCCGUUGUGAAAGCCCUGGGCUCAACCUGGGAAUUGCAGUGGAUACUGGGUCACUAGAGUGUGGUAGAGGAUAGUGGAAUUUCCGGUGUAGCAGUGAAAUGCGUAGAGAUCGGAAGGAACAUCUGUGGCGAAGGCGACUAUCUGGGCCAACACUGACACUGAGGCACGAAAGCGUGGGGAGCAAACAGGAUUAGAUACCCCAGUAGUCCCUGUCUCUUAUAC